rnacentral:rRNA from 1 species
CACGUAGGGUGCGAGCGUUGUCCGGAAUUAUUGGGCGUAAAGAGCUCGUAGGCGGUGUGUCGCGUCGGCCGUGAAAACCUGCAGCUUAACUGUGGGCUUGCGGUCGAUACGGGCAUCACUGGAGUUCGGCAGGGGAGACUGGAAUUCCUGGUGUAGCGGUGGAAUGCGCAGAUAUCAGGAGGAACACCGAUGGCGAAGGCAGAUCUCUGGGCCGUAACUGACGCUGAGGAGCGAAAGCAUGGGGAGCGAACAGG